GAGAGAAAGAGAGAGGACACAGAGAGAAAGAGAGGGGGGAGGAGAUAUAGAGAUAGGGAGAGAGAAAGAGAGAGGACACAGAGAGAAAGAGAGGGGGGAGGAGAUAUAGAGAUAGGGAGAGAGAAAGAGAGAGGACACAGAGAGAAAGAGAGGGGGGGGAGGAGAUAUAGAGAUAGGGAGAGAGAAAGAGAGAGGACACAGAGAGAAAGAGAGGGGGGGAGGAGAUAUAGAGAUAGGGAGAGAGAAAGAGAGAGGACACAAAGAGAAAGAGAAAUACGGAGAUGUAUACCCUGAAAACUCGUACGAAUUUCCCGAAAAUUCUUCAUUUAGCUGGCAGUGUUUUGGACCAGGGCUUGCAUUAAUUCAUGCAUUAAGGUGUAAGAUUUCCCUCUGGCUAUCACACGUGUUCCUCAACAGCUAGGAAACACCAGUCCCCAUGUCUGUCCAUCUGCCAGCUAAAAGAAUAGAGUUCUGCUACAGUCCCCAUAUCUGUCCAUCUGCCAGCUAAAAGAAUACAGUUCUGCUACAGUCCCAGUGAGCCACUCAGAAUAGCCAAGGCCUAUUGUUCAGUAGGUCUCCUAUAGAUGUCAAACAGUGUCAUGCUGUUGUUAGUCUGAUCUCAGCUUGUAUCAGGGAGAUGGAGGUGCACAUUAAACAGUGUCAUGCUGUUCGUCUGAUCUCAGCUUGUAUCGGGGAGAUGGAGGUGCACAUUAAACAGUGUCAUGCUGUUCGUCUGAUCUCAGCUUGUAUCGGGGAGAUGGAGGUGCACAUUAAACAGUGUCAUGCUGUUCGUCUGAUCUCAGCUUGUAUCGGGGAGAUGGAGGUGCACAUUAAACAGUGUCAUGCUGUUGUUCGUCUGAUCUCAGCUUGUAUCGGGGAGAUGGAGGUGCACAUUAAACAGUUGGAUGAUAGAUACUGUAAAUACAAUUUAAAAUAUCCUUUCCAGAUUUAAAUGAUUUAUCAAAACUUGUAUUUUUCUAAUUUUCUAAUUAUGCCCGUCAUGUUGUCCAAGAGGGAAUUUGUGUUUGUGCAUUAGUGUUUCUCUACGUGUUUGGAUAUAAUUGUCUCUAUUUCGUUUGGUUGUUCCUGAGGGCAUUGCGAGGCUUAAGGAAGAUCAC
ensembl:lncRNA